rnacentral:rRNA from 1 species
UACGUAGGUGGCAAGCGUUGUUCGGAAUUAUUGGGCGUAAAGGGCGCGUAGGCGGUUUGUUAAGUCGGUUGUGAAAGCCCGGGGCUCAACCCCGGAGGGUCGACCGAUACUGGCAGGCUAGAGUACAGAAGAGGUAGCUGGAAUUCCCGGUGUAGCGGUGAAAUGCGUAGAUAUCGGGAGGAACAUCAGAGGCGAAGGCGGGCUACUGGGCUGAUACUGACGCUGAUGCGCGAAAGCCAGGGGAGCAAACGGG